UGGGGCGUCGUCUAGUGGCAGGACAGCAGACUCUGGAUCUGCUUACGGUGGUUCGAAUCCAUCCGCCCCAGCCA
rnacentral:tRNA from 1 species